AACUGAGGGGCUUGUCCACCUGUAACAGCUGGUAACUCACCAGCCCAAAAGGUGUAGGGUUCCUUAAGCCAGGGUCUCACUCAGAUCUUGUAUCUUCACAUCGCCUCUAAGUAGUAACUCUGGUAACUGCUGUUUGUUCAGAAAGUUGGAAAUACAAAACGAAGGAUUCAGCGGGGCUGCAUUCCUUCUGGAGACCUGAGGAGAAUCCUUUUGAUGAAUGCUAGCUAUAUGCAAAAUCUUGGAUUUGCGUAUGACUUCAAGAACAUCUACCAGCACUGUAUGAGAGAGAAAAAGCCAGCCUCCUCCAAUAACUUGGCUUAAACAAGCUAUUUAUUGUACUCAGCAUCUUUCAGCACUAGGAGAGCUAACCAGUAUAGAAGAAGUCUCUGGGAAAUUUGAUUUUUCCAUAUUCUAUAACUCAAGUAUGUGCUGUCUUCAGAGAUAAGGUCUCACUGGAAAGUUCUGAAGAGUUACUGAGAGAAGUGACAAUGGCUCAUAAUAUUUAGAGGUUUGGGAGGCCUCACUGCUCAGAAGCUCCAAAAGAAGUAACCCAUCCUGGACUGGGGGUUUUAUUUGUAAGGGUUUCCUGUAUUUUAGUGACUAAAAUCUAAGUUGCAUGGCAAAAGCUGAUGUCAUGGGCAGGAAUGACACUUGUUUCACAUGGAAAAGCACUAAAUAUAUUCAACAAUAAUAUAACCUGUCACUCUCUUAUUAUAACACUACCUUUUACAUUAUUCUCUUUGCUAUGUAAAAUAUUCUCUACUCAUAAAACUAAAAAAUGGGAGGGAACAAAUAUCUAAUAAACAUUUGAAGAGUGACAAAUGAUAUAUCUAUAUGAUUGAAUAUUUGCCAAUAAAAAUAAAUCAGGCAUUGAUACACGGU
rnacentral:lncRNA from 1 species